rnacentral:rRNA from 1 species
GGGCCGCACAAGCAGAGAGCAUGUGGCUUAAUUCGAUGCAACGCGAAGAACCUUACCUGGGCUUGACAUGCAGGUGCACGGGCUAUGAAAGUAGCCUCCUUCGAGGGUCCUGCACAGGUGCUGCAUGGCUGUCGUCAGUUCGUGCCGUGAGGUGUUUGGUUAAGUCCACCAACGAACGCAACCCCUUUGGGAUGUUGCCAGCGGGUAACGCCGGGAACUCGUCCCAGACUGCUUGUUCACGCAAGAGGAAGGUGGGGAUGACGUCAAGUCAGUAUGGCCCUUACGCCCAGGGCUGCACACGUGCUACAAUGGCCGGUACAGAGGGAAGCGAGACCGCAAGGUGGAGCCAACCCCAGAGAGCCGGCCCCAGUUCAGAUCGGGGUCUGCAACCCGACCCCGUGAAGUCGGAUUUGCUAGUAACGGCGCAUCAGCUACGGCGCCGUGAAUGCGUUCCCGGGCCUUGUACACACCGCCCGUCACAUCAUGAAAGCCGUCUGCACCCGAAGUCCGGCAUUCGUCGGCCUAAGGUGUGGGUGGUGAUUGGGAUG